CCCGCCCACUGGGCGUUGGCGGCGGCGGCAGAGCCCGGAAGACCCACCUGGCAGCGGGAUCCCUCUCCCCGCCUCCCCAGCCGCGCGGCCCGGCUCAGGAAGGAGCCUCUCUCCCAGUGACCUCCUAUGGCUGAGAAGAGGGCUCACCUGAAUCCAUCCAUUGAAGGCCAGCAAGGAGUGGGUACUAGCAGGGCAUCCCUGACCCCUCAGCGUCCACAGAGCAGACAACUCCUGCCUUCCUGCUGGCCUCUCUGUGGUUCCUGGAACACCCCAGGCACACCCUCGCCUCAGGGCCUUUGCACACGCUGCCUUGCGCCUUCUGCCUGGAAUGCUGCUCCCUCAAUGUCCUCAGAGCUCCCUCCCUCACCUCCUUCAGGUCGAGUAUCACCUUUCUGCUCUGUGAACAUGUCAACCUCCCCCUCCAGUCUCCAUCCUCUUCCCAACUUUAUUUCCCUCCACAGCCCCUAUAGUCAUCUAACAAAUUGAUUUAGUUUGCUUAUUUAUUCUGUGUAGUAUCUGUCCCUCUCGCUAGAAUGUGAGCUUCACGAGGAUGGAGAUUCUUAUCCCUUUUAUACACAACUUUCUCCGUGGCAUCUGGAUCAUGCCUGGCAUAAAGCAGGCACUCAAUAAGGAAGGAAGGAAUGAAUGAAUGAAUGAAUGAAUGAAUGGUUCUACCACUCCCACAUUUGGGGUGUUCUUGGGCAAACCACUUUUCUGGGCCCCAGUGACCCUGUCCAUGGAAAGCGGAGAGGGAUGGGAUCUGUGAGCAGGAAAUCAAAGCAUCAAGUGAGACCGGAAGUCCCCCUCCCCCCCAACUUUCUGGCUGUGGGCCUGGGGCAAGUGACUUACCCUCUCUGAUGCUCAGCAGAAGAGAAAACUCUACCAAUUAAAACAAACAGCCAAGCUCUUCAAGCUCUUACAAAGCUACAGACUCAGCUUAAGCCUCGGAACUGCCCUGUGAGGCGGGGAGUGUUAUUCUGGCUUUCCAAAUGAGGGAACCAACUUCUGGGGAAGGGACCGGCCCACAGGCAGACAGCUGAGUCAGUGAUGCGCUUCAAGCCAGCCAGCCCAAAGCCAGCCCUGGCCUUUUACCAGUGUGCAACCCUGCCUCCCUAGGAUGGAGGAAAUGACCUAAGAAGCCCAGCACAGGACCCAGUGCAGGAUCAGCACUUAUCCAAAUACUCAAUGCUCAAAACACAUCGUGCUUCUGCUCCUAUCUCUUUCCAUCACAUCCACCCUUCAAGGUCCAGUUAAAGUUUCAUCGUUUCUAAGAAGCCUGACUACUCCUCGAAGGACUGAGAGCCAGGCUCCAGCGCAGGACCACGUGUUGCCUUCCGCCGGCUUUGAUGUGGAACAUUCCUUUCGCCUGACCUUGUCUUUCACGACACUGACACUUUGGGAGAACACAGGGUAUUUUGCAGACUGCCCCUCGGGUGGGUUUUGUCUCCCAUGAUUCCCCGAGGCUGUGCCUCUGGCGGCCAGGACGUCACCGAAGUGCGGCUGCGCCCCGCCU